GCCGAUGUAGCUCAGUUGGUAGAGCAGCUCACUCGUAAUGAGCAGGUCAGCGGUUCAAAUCCGCUCAUCGGCU
rnacentral:tRNA from 1 species